rnacentral:antisense_RNA from 1 species
GGCCUACCUAAAGUGCUGGGAUUACAGGCGUGAGCCACUAUGCCCAGCCUCUCUUCCUCUUUUUAAUAAAGCUAUAGUCCUAUCAGAUUAUGGCCUUACCCUAUGAACUCAUUUAACUGUAAUUAUCUCCUAAAGAUUCUCUCUCCAGAUACAAUCGCAUUGUGGGUUAGGGCUUCAAUAUAUAAAUUUGGGGGGGACAUAAUUCAGUCCAUAUCAGUAACUGAAGUGUUCAUCAUUGCCCAAGUAUUUUUUGAGCAUCUGUCUUGUACUCAGCUUGAUCCAUGCAUUGUGAGAGUUGAAGGGUGGGGUGGGAUGAAGUACAAAAGAAGUAACGAAUAUGGUUCCUGUUUUCAGGAGCUUAUGGUCUUGUUGGGGAGGUAAGACCAACAGAUUGUAAAUAAGAACAAAUGCUGUGAGGUAGAGUGAAUGCUGAGGGCACUCCUAAUCAAUAAGGGUUGGAAGGGGCCAGGAAACUUUUAUGUAUUUAUUUAUUGAGAUGGGGUCUUGCUUUGUUACCCAGGCUGUUUUUUUUCGUUUUGUUUUGUUUUUUAACACAGUGUCUCACUCCAUCACCCAGACUGGAGUGCAGUGGCAUGAUCUUGGCUCAC